CCUUCAUUCCAUCCUAUGAUAAAAAUACGUCUUUCAUUAGUGCUUGAGUUUGCCUUUCGGUAGUAACACUUCUAGAAGACGUAAACCAAUCCAUAAUGGCUUCGUCCCAGGAACCGUGGCUUCUUGAGCAUGGCAACCUUAAAGGUUUAAGCAAGGAGAUGCGACACGGCCGCACUGCUCACAACAUGUCGUCCUCUUCUCUGCGCAAAAAAUCCGACCUCACUCUCGUUUCCAAGCUUCGAUGUGGAUUGCUUAGAAACUUGUUAACUAAUCUUCAAGAAGUUAUUUUAGGGACAAAACUUUCAGUUCUUUUUCCCGCCAUCCCACUUGCUAUUCUCGCUGAGUGUUAUGGCUUUGGAAGACCAUGGGUUUUCGCUCUGAGCUUACUGGCUCUUACUCCUCUCGCCGAACGAGUCAGCUUUUUGACAGAGCAAAUUGCUUACUACACUGGUCCAACAGUGGGAGGGCUCCUGAAUGCAACAUGUGGCAAUGCUACAGAACUCAUAAUAGCUAUCCUCGCACUGAGCCAACGCAAGAUUGAGGUGGUGAAAUAUUCUCUCUUGGGUUCCAUUCUAUCCAAUCUGCUUCUUGUUCUUGGGACUUCUCUAUUCUGUGGUGGGAUUGCACAUCUUAGACCAGAACAAAAAUAUGAUAGAAAACAAGCUGAUGUAAACAUACUGCUUCUUCUGCUGGCAUUGUUGUGCCACAUGCUGCCAUUGUUGUUCAGAGUUUCCAGUGCCUCCGCUGCUCUCACCGCCAUCCCAACACUCCACUUGUCAAGAGCAAGUAGCUUCGUAAUGCUUCUAGGAUACGUUGCAUACAUUAUCUUCCAAUUAGUGACACACAGACAAUUGUUUGAAGCAUCAGAGGAAUCAGCCGAUGGUGAUGAUAAUGAUGUGAUCUCAGAAGAAGCGCCAGUUAUAGGAUUCUGGAGUGGAAUUGUUUGGCUGGUUGGGAUGACUGCUGUCAUAGCUUUGUUAUCAGAAUUUGUUGUGGGAACAAUUGAGGGUGCUUCUGAUUCUUGGGGCCUUUCAGUCAGCUUCAUUAGCAUUAUCUUGCUACCAAUUGUUGGAAAUGCAGCAGAACAUGCUGGUGCAGUCAUAUUUGCUUUUAAAAACAAGUUGGUGAGUAUAUUACCGAAUAGAAAUAAAUAAUAAUUCCCCUGUUAUUUUUCUUAUAUAUUAUGGUCUUCUUUUGAAGCAUUUUUGGAUUUUUUUCCCCUCCAUGAAAAGAUUUGUUAAAUUUUGGAAUAGGGGCAGCGCAUAUUAUAUUAAUUCAUUUUAAUAUAAACUUGUAUAAAUGAUCGAGUUGUUUAAAAUGACUUAUUUAUCAAAAUGAACAAUUAUUUUUGUAAUUCAAUUAUUUAUAUUUACCCGUUUAUCUUUACUUAUUCCAGACGUAGGAUUUACAUUCCCAACAAGAUUUCCCAAAAAUUUUAAUUAAUAUUCUGGCUAUGAAAUGCAGGAUAUAUCGUUAGGUGUUGCUUUGGGUUCCGCAACUCAAAUUUCUAUGUUUGUGGUAAGAACAGCAGAAACUGAACAACAAUGUCCUUUUCCACCAGAGCUUUUUAGUUCUAAAUUUUGAAAAUUAUGACAUUUUUUGGAUGUGAAUUUCAGGUUCCACUGUGCGUGGUUGUUGCUUGGAUAAUGGGUAUUGAGAUGGAUCUUAAUUUCAAUCUCCUUGAGACUGGCACUCUUGCUCUAGCAAUCAUCGCUACAGCAUUCACUUUACAGGAUGGUACUUCUCAUUACUUGAAAGGAUUGGCUUUGCUGCUUUGCUACUUUGUCAUUGGAGCAUGCUUUUUCGUAUCCAAAGCACCCCUUCGUAAGGACUUGACACCAUUUUUCAAGCUUGCUUAGAACUUUUAAGCGUAAAAUUCAUCCCUUUUCAUCCAUAUUGUAAUCCCAUCUCUUAACAUAAUCUUUAUUUACUCACUCCAGAUCAAGGAAAUGUCACCAAUUUUGGAGUCAAGACAGCACCUGGAGUAGUCCUCACAGCUUAGUGCACGAGUGAGUCCUGAUUCUUCAGUAAAUCCAAACAAUUAUCCAUGUAACUAAAUUUAAUUGUACAUCUACCAAGUGCCUUAAAGAUUUAAUUGUACAUCUAACUUAAUUUAAUUGUGCAUCUAAUGUAAAUGCAGGAUUGAGGCUCUCAUGGUGAGUCCCUAGAUGAGGAUGGUCACAUUCAAAUAUCUAUGACCACUUUGGAUGCAUUUGUUAUUCUUUCAUUUUCAUUCCGCCCCGACGAUGAUGAUCGAUCGAUGGAUGAAUCGCCUGCCGGAAAGCAAGCAUUUUGUGUUUUGUUUGAGAUUAUAUAUAGUAGCCAUGCCUUCUUAGGUAAAAUGGAAGAUUUUAUCACACCAUUGUUGCCUUAUGAAGACAGGCUACCUACUGUAUAUGUCAUGCUGUGUAGAUAUCCUCUCCUAAGUGUUUUUGUAAUUGGGGGUUUGAUUUCUUAUGCCAAUAUAGAGAGGAUUGGCAGAUGACACAAGGGUGGGGUUUUUCUCUACUCUUGUAUUCAAAUAAUCAAUAAAUUUAUUUAGUUUUUGUUUGUGUUUGCAAUACGGCACAAGGGUUUUUUUAAUUUUUCUCCAUCUAUUUUUAUUUAUAUACUUUUUUUUCUUUUUAAACAUUU
rnacentral:misc_RNA from 1 species